GAUGAACGCUGGCGGCGUGCCUAAUACAUGCAAGUCGAGCGAACGGACGAGAAGCUUGCUUCUCUGAUGUUAGCGGCGGACGGGUGAGUAACACGUGGAUAACCUACCUAUAAGACUGGGAUAACUUCGGGAAACCGGAGCUAAUACCGGAUAAUAUUUUGAACCGCAUGGUUCAAAAGUGAAAGACGGUCUUGCUGUCACUUAUAGAUGGAUCCGCGCUGCAUUAGCUAGUUGGUAAGGUAACGGCUUACCAAGGCAACGAUGCAUAGCCGACCUGAGAGGGUGAUCGGCCACACUGGAACUGAGACACGGUCCAGACUCCUACGGGAGGCAGCAGUAGGGAAUCUUCCGCAAUGGGCGAAAGCCUGACGGAGCAACGCCGCGUGAGUGAUGAAGGUCUUCGGAUCGUAAAACUCGGUUAUUAGGGAAGAACAUAUGUGUAAGUAACUGUGCACAUCUUGACGGUACCUAAUCAGAAAGCCACGGCUAACUACGUG
rnacentral:rRNA from 1 species